rnacentral:rRNA from 1 species
AACGAACGCUGGCGGCAGGCCUAACACAUGCAAGUCGAACGCCCUGGCGACAGGGAGUGGCAGACGGGUGAGUAACGCGUGGGAACGUGCCUUUCGGUUCGGAAUAACCCAGGGAAACUUGGACUAAUACCGGAUACGUGCGAGAGCAGAAAGAUUUAUCGCCGAAAGAUCGGCCCGCGUCCGAUUAGCUAGUUGGUGAGGUAAAGGCUCACCAAGGCGACGAUCGGUAGCUGGUCUGAGAGGAUGAUCAGCCACACUGGGACUGAGACACGGCCCAGACUCCUACGGGAGGCAGCAGUGGGGAAUAUUGGACAAUGGGCGAAAGCCUGACGCAGCGACGCCGCGUGGGGGAGUGAAGGUCUUCGGAUUG